GGUUGGUCCACGUGCAGUGCUGUUUACAACUAAUUGAUCAUAGUCAGUUUCAGAUUCAUUUGUUCCUUCUUUACUCUUGCUAUUUCACUUGACAAACCUUAA
ensembl:Y_RNA Y_RNA Y RNA